GACGAUGCCUCACGCGGGUGCUGAGU
rnacentral:piRNA from 1 species